rnacentral:rRNA from 1 species
AGCGUACACGGUGGAUGCCCUGGCAGUCAGAGGCGAUGAAGGACGUGCUAAUCUGCGAUAAGCGUCGGUAAGGUGAUAUGAACCGUUAUAACCGGCGAUUUCCGAAUGGGGAAACCCAGUGUGAUUCGUCACACUAUCAUUAACUGAAUCCAUAGGUUAAUGAGGCGAACCGGGGGAACUGAAACAUCUAAGUACCCCGAGGAAAAGAAAUCAACCGAGAUUCCCCCAGUAGCGGCGAGCGAACGGGGAGCAGCCCAGAGCCUGAAUCAGUGUGUGUGUUAGUGGAAGCGUCUGGAAAGGCGCGCGAUACAGGGUGACAGCCCCGUACACAAAAAUGCACAUACUGUGAGCUCGAUGAGUAGGGCGGGACACGUGGUAUCCUGUCUGAAUAUGGGGGGACCAUCCUCCAAGGCUAAAUACUCCUGACUGACCGAUAGUGAACCAGUACCGUGAGGGAAAGGCGAAAAGAACCCCGGCGAGGGGAGUGAAAAAGAACCUGAAACCGUGUACGUACAAGCAGUGGGAGCACAGAGCAAUCUGUGUGACUGCGUACCUUUUGUAUAAUGGGUCAGCGACUUAUAUUCUGUAGCAAGGUUAACCGAAUAGGGGAGCCGAAGGGAAACCGAGUCUUAACUGGGCGUUAAGUUGCAGGGUAUAGACCCGAAACCCGGUGAUCUAGCCAUGGGCAGGUUGAAGGUUGGGUAACACUAACUGGAGGACCGAACCGACUAAUGUUGAAAAAUUAGCGGAUGACUUGUGGCUGGGGGUGAAAGGCCAAUCAAACCGGGAGAUAGCUGGUUCUCCCCGAAAGCUAUUUAGGUAGCGCCUCGUGAAUUCAUCUCCGGGGGUAGAGCACUGUUUCGGCAAGGGGGUCAUCCCGACUUACCAACCCGAUGCAAACUGCGAAUACCGGAGAAUGUUAUCACGGGAGACACACGGCGGGUGCUAACGUCCGUCGUGAAGAGGGAAACAACCCAGACCGCCAGCUAAGGUCCCAAAGUCAUGGUUAAGUGGGAAACGAUGUGGGAAGGCCCAGACAGCCAGGAUGUUGGCUUAGAAGCAGCCAUCAUUUAAAGAAAGCGUAAUAGCUCACUGGUCGAGUCGGCCUGCGCGGAAGAUGUAACGGGGCUAAACCAUGCACCGAAGCUGCGGCAGCGACGCUUAUGCGUUGUUGGGUAGGGGAGCGUUCUGUAAGCCUGCGAAGGUGUGCUGUGAGGCAUGCUGGAGGUAUCAGAAGUGCGAAUGCUGACAUAAGUAACGAUAAAGCGGGUGAAAAGCCCGCUCGCCGGAAGACCAAGGGUUCCUGUCCAACGUUAAUCGGGGCAGGGUGAGUCGACCCCUAAGGCGAGGCCGAAAGGCGUAGUCGAUGGGAAACAGGUUAAUAUUCCUGUACUUGGUGUUACUGCGAAGGGGGGACGGAGAAGGCUAUGUUGGCCGGGCGACGGUUGUCCCGGUUUAAGCGUGUAGGCUGGUUUUCCAGGCAAAUCCGGAAAAUCAAGGCUGAGGCGUGAUGACGAGGCACUACGGUGCUGAAGCAACAAAUGCCCUGCUUCCAGGAAAAGCCUCUAAGCAUCAGGUAACAUCAAAUCGUACCCCAAACCGACACAGGUGGUCAGGUAGAGAAUACCAAGGCGCUUGAGAGAACUCGGGUGAAGGAACUAGGCAAAAUGGUGCCGUAACUUCGGGAGAAGGCACGCUGAUAUGUAGGUGAAGUCCCUCGCGGAUGGAGCUGAAAUCAGUCGAAGAUACCAGCUGGCUGCAACUGUUUAUUAAAAACACAGCACUGUGCAAACACGAAAGUGGACGUAUACGGUGUGACGCCUGCCCGGUGCCGGAAGGUUAAUUGAUGGGGUUAGCGCAAGCGAAGCUCUUGAUCGAAGCCCCGGUAAACGGCGGCCGUAACUAUAACGGUCCUAAGGUAGCGAAAUUCCUUGUCGGGUAAGUUCCGACCUGCACGAAUGGCGUAAUGAUGGCCAGGCUGUCUCCACCCGAGACUCAGUGAAAUUGAACUCGCUGUGAAGAUGCAGUGUACCCGCGGCAAGACGGAAAGACCCCGUGAACCUUUACUAUAGCUUGACACUGAACAUUGAGCCUUGAUGUGUAGGAUAGGUGGGAGGCUUUGAAGUGUGGACGCCAGUCUGCAUGGAGCCGACCUUGAAAUACCACCCUUUAAUGUUUGAUGUUCUAACGUUGACCCGUAAUCCGGGUUGCGGACAGUGUCUGGUGGGUAGUUUGACUGGGGCGGUCUCCUCCUAAAGAGUAACGGAGGAGCACGAAGGUUGGCUAAUCCUGGUCGGACAUCAGGAGGUUAGUGCAAUGGCAUAAGCCAGCUUGACUGCGAGCGUGACGGCGCGAGCAGGUGCGAAAGCAGGUCAUAGUGAUCCGGUGGUUCUGAAUGGAAGGGCCAUCGCUCAACGGAUAAAAGGUACUCCGGGGAUAACAGGCUGAUACCGCCCAAGAGUUCAUAUCGACGGCGGUGUUUGGCACCUCGAUGUCGGCUCAUCACAUCCUGGGGCUGAAGUAGGUCCCAAGGGUAUGGCUGUUCGCCAUUUAAAGUGGUACGCGAGCUGGGUUUAGAACGUCGUGAGACAGUUCGGUCCCUAUCUGCCGUGGGCGCUGGAGAAUUGAGGGGGGCUGCUCCUAGUACGAGAGGACCGGAGUGGACGCAUCACUGGUGUUCGGGUUGUCAUGCCAAUGGCACUGCCCGGUAGCUAAAUGCGGAAGAGAUAAGUGCUGAAAGCAUCUAAGCACGAAACUUGCCCCGAGAUGAGUUCU